AACGAACGCUAGCGGCGUACCUAACACAUGCAAGUCGAACGAGAAAGUUCCUUCGGGAGCGAGUAGAGUGGCGAACGGGUGAGUAACGCGUAGGUAAUCAACCCUCCAGCGGGGGACAACAUUUCGAAAGGAAUGCUAAUACCGCAUACAGUCUUGGAUCAUGAGGUCUAAGAGCAAAGGCUUCGGCCACUGGAGGACGAGCCUGCGUCCCAUUAGCUAGUUGGUAAGGUAACGGCUUACCAAGGCUACGAUGGGUAGCUGGUUUGAGAGAACGAUCAGCCACACUGGAACUGACACACGGUCCAGACUCCUACGGGAGGCAGCAGUGGGGAAUUUUGCGCAAUGGGGGAAACCCUGACGCAGUGACGCCGCGUGUGUGAUGAAGGCUUUCGGGUCGUAAAGCACUGUCAGCAGGGAACAUAAUGAGCGUACCUGCAGAGGAAGCACCGGCUAACUCUG
rnacentral:rRNA from 1 species